UGGGCAACCUGCCCCUCUCUCUGGGAUAACCCCGGGAAACCGGAGCUAAUACCGGAUACUCCGGCUGGAUCGCAUGGUCCGGCCGGGAAAGGUCCGCCGGAGAGGGAUGGGCCCGCGGCCUAUCAGCUUGUUGGUGAGGUAAUGGCUCACCAAGGCGACGACGGGUAGCCGGCCUGAGAGGGCGAUCGGCCACACAGGGACUGAGACAUGGUCCAGACUCCUACGGGAGCA
rnacentral:rRNA from 1 species